AGGGGCUUAGGAUAGCACUUACUUAAACCAAGGGCCUUCAAAGCCUUAAACGGGAGUGAAAAUCUCCCAGCCCCUG
rnacentral:tRNA from 1 species